AUUGAACGCUGGCGGCAUGCCUUACACAUGCAAGUCGAACGGUAACGCGGGGCAACCUGGCGACGAGUGGCGAACGGGUGAGUAAUGUAUCGGAACGUGCCCAGUUGUGGGGGAUAACUGCUCGAAAGAGCAGCUAAUACCGCAUACGACCUGAGGGUGAAAGCGGGGGAUCGCAAGACCUCGCGCAGUUGGAGCGGCCGAUAUCAGAUUAGGUAGUUGGUGGGGUAAAGGCUCACCAAGCCAACGAUCUGUAGCUGGUCUGAGAGGACGACCAGCCACACUGGGACUGAGACACGGCCCAGACUCCUACGGGAGGCAGCAGUGGGGAAUUUUGGACAAUGGGGGCAACCCUGAUCCAGCCAUGCCGCGUGCGGGAAGAAGGCCUUCGGGUUGUAAACCGCUUUUGUCAGGGAAGAAAAGACUCCUGUUAAUACCGGGGGUUCAUGACGGUACCUGAAGAAUAAGCACCGGCUAACUACGUGCCAGCCGCCGCUGUAACAC
rnacentral:rRNA from 1 species